CCUACGGGUGGCUGCAGUGGGGAAUAUUGGACAAUGGGCGCAAGCCUGAUCCAGCCAUGCCGCGUGAGUGAUGAAGGCCUUAGGGUUGUAAAGCUCUUUUGUCCGGGAAGAUAAUGACUGUACCGGAAGAAUAAGCCCCGGCUAACUUCGUGCCAGCAGCCGCGGUAAUACGAAGGGGGCUAGCGUUGUUCGGAAUCACUGGGCGUAAAGCGCACGUAGGCGGACCAUUAAGUCAGGGGUGAAAGCCUGGAGCUCAACUCCAGAACUGCCUUUGAUACUGAUGGUCUCGAGUUCGGAAGAGGUUGGUGGAACUGCGAGUGUAGAGGUGAAAUUCGUAGAUAUUCGCAAGAACACCAGUGGCGAAGGCGGCCAACUGGUCCGAUACUGACGCUGAGGUGCGAAAGCGUGGGGAGCAAACAGGAUUAGAUACCCCUGUAGUC
rnacentral:rRNA from 1 species